GUGUUUUCUUCUUUUUUUCGCCGUCUCUCUCUUCUUUCUCUCUCUCUCUCGCGAUUUCAACGAUGAAAUCGAAACGAAGGCGAUUCCGUUAAAUCGACCCAAAAUCGGAGAAAUCGGCUCUGUUUUUACCUCUGGCCGUCGUUGCCGCGUGACCUCAUCAUCCCCAGCGACGGUGGUUGUCGAGGGCUCACUCUUUUCACAAAAUCGGCGAAAUUUUGAUCUCUCUCUUUGCCGACUGCGAAAACAGAUGAUUAAUUUUGAUCUGUGUCUGAGAAAUUUCCGAUCUUGGCUUGACUAAGAUUAAGCAUCUGAUGAAAUUCUUGUUUUUUUUUCAUCGGAGAAAAGCAAAACGGCGGCGAAGAUGGAUGUGGCUCGGAUAAAGCUUCUAAGGAACAAGAGAUUAGUUGUGGUGAAGCAAAUGAGGCGUGACAUCGCUGUUCUUCUUCAAUCCGGUCAAGAUGCCACCGCUUGUAUCAGAGUAUCACUUUCCUUCUUCACUUUCUAAGAGUUUUUUCCCCUGCAAUUUCCAAUUCAAUGAAGAUUUUGCUUUAUGAAUGGACAAGAAGAAGUGAAAAGAAUCAAUGUCUUGAUGAUGUGAUAAUCCGAUGCAGGUUUUGGUAAUGAGAAGAUCAGAAUGAUCUGAAUUCAAUUAUAUGAUGUUCUUUAAGUGUUUGAAUAUGUCUCUCAGGUUGAUCGGUUCACUGGUUAUUCUUGUGUCUAUUGGUGUCAUAGUGUUAAGACUUAAGAGUAUAUCUGGUGAAGUUUAAGAUUACUGAAACUGUGAACUUCAUGUUAGCUUUAGAAGGUUUUAAUUGGUAAAGCAAAGAUUUUUGCUUUUCUUGAUUGGUGUAAUGUCUUUGUUGAAUGGAAUUGGUAGUAAAUGCAUUGUUCACUUAGAAAUGUGAUUUAGGGAGACAUCUAUUAUCAUUAACUAGUAGAAACAGGAAAGUAAAAACUUAUGGCAUCAAUACGAUGAUCACAAGUUCAAGUUAUUACUUGUUUUGGCUAUGUUCAUUAGCAACUUCACUACUCUGUUCUUUUCCCUCUUCUUUCUUACAUGUUUAGCUUUGUAUUCUGCUUCUAUAAUGCAGACCGAAGUGAACCGGAGCGACUAUGACAAUUUGAUCGGAGCUCUACCAUACUUGAAAGUCAAUCGAAAGGCGACUUAAGCAGAGUAGGCUUGAUCCUUUUCUUACCUGCAAUUCUCAUUUUGUAAUCUAAAGUUGUGGUAAUAUCCUUUUGUAUUGUGAUAUAAUUUGGUCAAUGAGUUGAUUUUGUUUCAUAUU